AGAGUUUGAUCCCGGCUCAGAGCGAACGUUAGCGGCAGGCUUAACACAUGCAAGUCGAGCGAGAAAGUAGGCUUCGGUCUACGAGUAAAGCGGCGGACGGGUGCGUAACACGUGGGUAACCUUCCUUUUGGCGGGGGAUAACAGUUCGAAAGAAUUGCUAAUACCCCAUAAGUCGGCGAGGUCUUCGGAUCUUGUCGGGAAAGGAUGACCUCUAUUUAUAAGUUGUCGCCAGAAGACGGGCCCGCGGCCCAUCAGCUUGUUGGUGAGGUAAUGGCUCACCAAGGCUAAGACGGGUAGCUGGUCUGAGAGGAUGAUCAGCCACACUGGGACUGCGACACGGCCCAGACUCCUACGGGAGGCAGCAGUGGGGAAUCUUGGACAAUGGGCGAAAGCCUGAUCCAGCCAUGCCGCGUGUGUGAUGAAGGCCUUCGGGUCGUAAAGCACUGUGGAAAGGGGCGAAAUGCUCUUGGUUAAUACCCAAGAGAGUUGACAGUACCUUUUUAGCAAGCACCGGCUAACUCCGUGCCAGCAGCCGCGGUAAUACGGAGGGUGCAAACGUUGCUCGGAAUCAUUGGGCGUAAAGCGCGUGUAGGCGGUCUUCUAAGUCAGACGUGAAAGCCCUGGGCUUAACCCAGGAAGUGCAUCUGAUA
rnacentral:rRNA from 1 species